UUGGGCACAGGCGAAGACGCCCACAGCCGGCCGACCGCACCACCGGCGGCAAGAGGAUCUCCCAUCGCGCUCGUCCUCGGAGUAGGAGCCAUCGUGGAGGUGGGUGCCGGGCGCGACGCCGUUGGAGGCGCCAUUCACGAGUCCGAGUGCCUCUGGGCUCCAUGUGCCAGAUCGGCCGGAGCGGCUGCCCGACGGCGGGCUCGCCAACGGGAGGCCGAGGGACACGAGGCAGCGGCGAGUGCCUGUACACGGUGGAGGCGGAGGAGUCAUCGCAAGAGCGUGGCCUUGGCGCGGGCGCAGCGCGACGCGAGGGCAAGGCCUUGGCAGUCGGCACGGGUGGGCGCG
rnacentral:lncRNA from 1 species